rnacentral:tRNA from 1 species
GCGGAUAUGUACGGGGUACUACGCAGCCUUCCAAGCUGACUACGAGAGUUCGAUUCUCUCUAUCCGCUCCA